ACGAGAUCGGCCUCGCGCGGACAGUGAUGUUCAGUAGCUACCACGUCUUCCGUUAUACACCUGCGCGCAGAUAAUAUUCUGUUGAUUCUUCAAAGCUGAUUUGUGGCUUCUUUUAUCAUGUUUCCCUCUUGGGGUAUUUCUUCUGGCACCGAUUUUGGCCCCAAGAUUCUGCAUCCGGUCAGCAUCUUCUAGAAAUACGUCCUUUCUGAUAAACUAUUGUUACCAGCUGUCUUUGCUGUGUCUUAUUCAGGCCAAAACUCGGAACACUUGCAGAGAGGAUUUCAAUGUGUUCAUGAACUGCCACAAAACUGCUGAUUUACCACAAUUGUCUCUGCUGUGAAGAUUUCCUUCCUCAACUAGGCUGUGCUCUUGGGUCCUAGUCUCUCCAAUCAAUGGAAACAUCUUCUCAACAUUCACUCUGUCCAGGCCAUUCAGUAUUCUGUAAGUUUCAAUUUGAUUCCCCCUUAUCCUUCUCAGCUAUAUAGA